GUGCCAGCCGCCGCGGUAAUACAGAGGGUGCAAGCGUUAAUCGGAAUUACUGGGCGUAAAGCGCGCGUAGGUGGUUCGUUAAGUUGGAUGUGAAAUCCCCGGGCUCAACCUGGGAACUGCAUUCAAAACUGACGAGCUAGAGUAUGGUAGAGGGUGGUGGAAUUUCCUGUGUAGCGGUGAAAUGCGUAGAUAUAGGAAGGAACACCAGUGGCGAAGGCGACCACCUGGACUGAUACUGACACUGAGGUGCGAAAGCGUGGGGAGCAAACAGGAUUAGA
rnacentral:rRNA from 1 species